rnacentral:rRNA from 1 species
UGCGUAGGCGGCGCGGUAAGUCGGGUGUGAAAUCUCGGAGCUUAACUCCGAAACUGCAUUCGAUACUGCCGUGCUUGAGGACCGGAGAGGAGACUGGAAUUUACGGUGUAGCGGUGAAAUGCGUAGAUAUCGUAAGGAAGACCAGUGGCGAAGGCGGGUCGUCUGGACAGUUCCUGACGCUGAGGCACGAAGGUCAGGGGGAGCAAACG